rnacentral:rRNA from 1 species
GACGAACGCUGGCGGCGUGCCUAAUACAUGCAAGUCGAACGCUGAAGAGAGGAGCUUGCUCUUCUUGGAUGAGUUGCGAACGGGUGAGUAACGCGUAGGUAACCUGCCUUGUAGCGGGGGAUAACUAUUGGAAACGAUAGCUAAUACCGCAUAACAAUGGAUGACACAUGUCAUUUAUUUGAAAGGGGCAAUUGUUCCACUACAAGAUGGACCUGCGUUGUAUUAGCUAGUAGGUGAGGUAAUGGCUCACCUAGGCGACGAUACAUAGCCGACCUGAGAGGGUGAUCGGCCACACUGGGACUGAGACACGGCCCAGACUCCUACGGGAGGCAGCAGUAGGGAAUCUUCGGCAAUGGGGGCAACCCUGACCGAGCAACGCCGCGUGAGUGAAGAAGGUUUUCGGAUCGUAAAGCUCUGUUGUAAGUCAAGAACGGGUGUGAGAGUGGAAAGUUCACACUGUGACGGUAGCUUACCAGAAAGGGACGGCUAACUACGU